rnacentral:rRNA from 1 species
GAUCCUGGCUCAGGACGAACGCUGGCGGCGUGCUUAACACAUGCAAGUCGAACGAGAAUCACUGGAAGGAGUUUUCGGACAACGGAAGGUGAGGACAGUGGCGGACGGGUGAGUAACGCGUGAGGAACCUGCCUUUCAGAGGGGGACAACAGUUGGAAACGACUGCUAAUACCGCAUGACACAUAGAGAUCGCAUGGUUUUUAUGUCAAAGAUUUAUCGCUGAAAGAUGGCCUCGCGUUUGA